CCAGUAAGAAAUACGGGGCCGAUCGGGUCUGAUCGUAAGAACGACGAUCAGACCUACAGGGGCCGAUGCGGGUCUGAUUUUGAGACACGCAUCAGACCCGAAUCAAGGUAUUUUGCACCCGAAACGUCAACCUGUCAAGGUUGUUCGAACAUCGCGAGAGGCCUACGUGCGGGGCCGAGGUAAGAACGACGUCAUGGUGAAAAAUCGGACGCGCGUCAACCUAUUUUUGCCUUCUUCUUCUGUCAUCUGUCAUUGGAUUUGUUGUUAUAAAAAAGUGAUUUUCGUGUUUGCACCAAGUGCAAAUUUUGUUUAUUUCAUAAAAUUACAAGAAAUAAGUUGAUUUAUUCCCCGACCUUAAUGUUUUGAUUAAUAUACCACACAUUUGAUCACAUUAACACGAACUCGCCGGUAGGACAGCCUUCAAGAGCGAGUUCUAGGCUCGCGUGGACCGGUUCCGGAUCAUCCGUCGUUCCGAGGGUUUUUGCAGGAUCGUGGACCGGAUUCGGUUCCGGGAGCAAUUGUAGGGAGGCGAUCGUCCGCCGGCAAUCCUGUUCCAUCCAGCGUCGUUCCGAUGGUGCUUGCAGGGCUACGACCGUCCAUCGAGCUUGUUCCUUACAACGUCGUUCAGAAGGCACUUGCAAGCUGGCGACUCCCGGCGAACCUACUCUAGAGCCAUAGCCGUUCCGGAUUGCAAGAACCUAUUUAAAUAGGAAUAAAUAAACAAUUAGGUCACUACAUGUAGCAAAUGUACAAAUAAAUCACCAAGAUCUUGGACCGGAUUAGGUUGAUCUUGAUCGGACGUGUUCGUACAGUAUUUAAUCCGAGGUUCCGAGGGCAAUUGCAGGGCGGCGACCAUCCGCCAAGCCUGAUCCAUGCAGCGACUUUCCAAGGGAACUUGUAGGGCCAUAACCGUCCAUCGUGCCUUUCCCGUCCUGUUCAUUCCGUGCCUGUUCCGUGCUGACUGCAGGCCCGGCAAGCGAGCCUAUUCCGUCCAGUGCCAUUCCAACUUCCAGCAUUCCUCGAGCCAGGAACAUGAACCGGUUUCGGUUGAUCUUGACUUAAUCCACCGUUCUGAGGAAACUUGUAGGGCGAUGGCCAUCCGGCCAGCGUGUUCCGAGCUGUCUCGUUCGUAUUGAACUUGCAGGGUGGUGACAAUCGGUUGUGGCUUCUCCUUGCUGCGUAUCUCGAGGGAACUUCUUAAGCGGCCUGCGUAUCCGGCAAUCCAAGAGGCCGUGACGUUCGGCAUGUUCACCGGAACCACUCAGCUAGGCAGCUUCUACAUUCCCUGUGCUCAAUUUUGGUGGACGCUGCGGUCGAUGGAAGUUCUUUGGUCGAUCGAUCUGCGUCGCUCCGCGUGGCGCAACGGUGAGGGCGGAACUCCAAAACUGGUUUCCGUUUCCGUGCUUCCUGGUGGUGACGUUCGAAUUAUUUGACCUGAAAGAGGGGAUAUUUAGAUUGUGUAGAGAGGUUUCAGAAAUUACUGUUUGUACCUGUGCUCCAUUACCACCGGUUCUGCUGCUAGCGGUUACUUAUGUUAGUUCUCUUCGUCGUCAUAAUCCGACCGAUUUCCCCGCGGAUCAGACUAGUACUGGCUAGACUAGUACUGGCUGGCUAGCCUAGUCGGAAGCAGAAUAUUGGAAAGGACUGAAGUCAAUGCAACGCUUCAUGGUCUCCCGUGGGACCAUGUCACUGCGGUCACGAUCGUCCCGUUCGUCACAAUCCAUUCCCCGACGCUGCUGCUGGCCCGCUGGUUGACCCUUGGCCUUUGCUGGGUGUGGAUGAACCGCGGAUCCUACCGCUUUUGCCAUCACCCUGCUGCGGCUGGGCCAGUGGACGCUAGCCUACGCUUCUGGAACCUCGGUGGUAGAGUAGUUUACAAGUUCUUAGGCGGACGAGUAGGUGCACUUCUGACAGGAUGUACUGGGUUACAAUCUUGGUGGCUUUUCGGCAUGAUAGUUAGGGACCGGAUCAUGAAGAGCGGGAGUUCCGCCGUGCUGAUCCCUGAAUAGCCAGGGAUAUGCUUCUAUCAAGGGGCGUUUCUUGCCGGAGGUUGACAGGGAGCCGGUGCGCAGACCGGUGUUGAAGCGCUGUGGAAAUUUAUCAAGUUUAUUUAUGUUUUUAAUUAAUA